GCGCUUACUUCAGCAGCAUGUUUUCUAAAAUUGGAACAGUACAGAGAAGAUUAGCAUGGCUCCUGUGCAAGGCUGACAUGCAAAUUCACGAAGCCUUCCACCUUUUU
rnacentral:snRNA from 1 species